rnacentral:rRNA from 1 species
GGUAUUAACUUAGUUAAAUAAAGUUCUGAGUAAAUCUAGAUUAUGACUUAGUUUGCUCAAGUGUCUUGACCAAAGUACGUGCCAGCAGUCGCGGUAAGACGUUAAAGACUAGUGUUAUUCAUCGUUACCAGGUUUAAAGGGUACUUAGACGGCAAAUCAAGCCAUAAGGGACUAAUUUGCUAGAGUUACUUGUGAAGGGGCUAGUAAGUACUGGUGGAGUAGAGAUAAAAUGCUAAUAUACCUUUUUUCUGGCACUGGUAAAGGCGAAAGCAUCCCCUUAUGUGAUAACUGACGUUAAAGGACGAAGGCUUUGGGCCGCGAAUAGGAUUAGAUACCCUAGUAGUCAAAGGAGAGAAUUAUGAGUGCCAUAGAUUAGAUUUGAUCUAUAAAUGAAAGUGCAAGCACUUCACCUUAUGAGUAAUGUGGCAACACCGAAAUUGAAAUCAUUAGACCGUUUCUGAAACCAGUAGUGAAGUAUGUUGUUUAAUUUGAUGAUCCGCAAAAAACCUUACCACAACUUGUAUAUACACAAGCGUUGCACGGCUGUCUUAAGUUAAUGUCGUGAGACUUUGAUUAGAUUCAUUAAAUUGACGUAAACCCUCGUUUCACUUUUAUGUGGAAUGGUUCACCGCUAUAUUGGAUAUGAUAAUAGGGAAUAAGAC